rnacentral:rRNA from 1 species
GUCAGCGACCGUACCACAUAGAAUGCACCGGCUCUAGUCCGAUCACCGAAGUUAAGCUACGUUGGGCCCGGUUAGUACGUGCAUGGGUGACCGGCUGGGAAUACCGGUCGUUGAUGACA